GACGAACGCUGGCGGCGUGCUUAACACAUGCCAGUCGAACGGUGAAGCGCCUUCCUUUUUGGUGGGUGUGGAUGAGUGGCGAACGGGUGAGUAACACGUGAGUAACCUGCCCCCUUCUUCUGGAUAACCGCAUGAAAGUGUGGCUAAUACGGGAUAUUCUGGGUCUGUCGCAUGAUGGGUCUGGGAAAGAUAUUGUUUCGGUGGGGGAUGGGCUCGCGGCCUAUCAGCUUGUUGGUGGGGUGAUGGCCUACCAAGGCGGUGACGGGUAGCCGGCCUGAGAGGGUGGGCGGUCACACUGGGGCUGAGACACGGCCAAGACUCCUACGGGAGGCAGCAGUGGGGAAUAUUGCACAAUGGGCGCAAGCCUGAUGCAGCGACGCCGCGUGAGGGAUGGAGGCCUUCGGGUUGUGAACCUCUUUCGCCAGUGAAGCAGGCCUGCCUCGUUUGUGGGUGGGUUGACGGUAGCUGGAUAAGAAGCGCCGGCUAACUACGUG
rnacentral:rRNA from 1 species